rnacentral:rRNA from 1 species
GCCUACAGUCCUAUCACCCCGAACACACGUGACUCUGAUCUGGGAAGCUGAGUAGGGUCGGGCCUGCUUAGUUCUUGGGUGUGAGAAUGAGAGAAAAGAACACAUGGUGGGCU